CUUGCGGCCAUAUCGCGUUGAAAAUCCAUUCCCAUACGAUCACAGAAGUUAAGCAAUGUCGAACUUGGUCAGUACCAAGGUGGGUGGUCGGUUGGGAAUAACAAGCGCAGUA